GAUUUGGCUCGGUUUUUCUCCUCCAAAUCUGACCUUUCCCCUUGUGUUUUUCUAAAAUUAGUUGAGGGGAAAUAUUCCUCUUAUCCUCCUCUAUCUUUAUCCCCAAAAAUCGGAGCUAAUCGUUGAGUAUCUUAUCCGAAUCGAACUCGUUUUCGAGUUUAUCUCCAAAACCGAGUUUUUGAUUUCCCGGAUCGAUUUCUUGCGGGAGGAGUCCGAUCUCUUCAAUCCAAGGCUAUAAAUAGGACCCCCUAGUCCUCCUCUUUCGUUUGCCCCCUCUCCCGUGGUCUCCCGUGCCUCGUAGCGCCGCCGCCACGUGCUCCACCCCGCCGUAGUCGCCGGCCGAGCUCCAUCCGCGUCGCGCCGCCGCCUCCGCCGUCGCCGCCGGUCUCCGUCACCACCGUUAGGUGCGCGGGAGGGUGGAGAAGCCCGGCCGCUAUCUCCCCGAAGCCGCCGACCACCGCAGCCCCGUCGCCGCCGUCGACCGAAGCCGCGCCGCCGCUAGACCUCGUCGCCGGCCGUCGUCGUUCGUCGUUUGGUUCGAGGGUGGGUACCGUUGGGUUCGUCUCGUCGUCCUCUACGUGUUCUUGUCCUCCAAAGUCGCAGCCGACCAUCCAAUCUCCGGCGAGGUCGCCAUCUUGGUUCGGCCAUUGAUGAGUUUGUCGUUUCCGUCGUUGCGAAGGUUCGUGAGUGCGCCGGAAGUAUUCAAGAAGAUUAAUUGAAGACCGAUUAUUGCAAGGCAAGUCACACAGAUCCUAAACACAAUCCUUUGAGCAUGUUGAUCCUAUAUUUAAAUUCUCUAUUUAUUUCAACUGUGCAUUUAUUUUCGAAUGUCACUGGGUGGUGUGAACCUAUUCCUUUGUUAUGGCCAAUUUGCAUUGAUUACUUUAUUCCUUGAUACCUUGGGUUAUUAUAACUUGACUAGUUGAGCUUUAUAUAUUGGUUCAGCUAGAUAUUAGAUAUGAUUGCUUAGCCAUGCUUAGAAACAUUAGCACACUAUUGGGAUAACUUAUGACUCAUUGUUUAAUGAUGGUUUAAUCGUAGCUCACGAUGGUUAAUCGUGUUAUGAUAAUUAAUUGAUAACUAAAACUUGACAAUGGUGGGUUGUGAGCACAUGGUUUUGAAGGUCGUGCUCAUGACAAUUAAGGACCGGUUCACGAGCUACUGUUAUGAAACAUUAACCGUACCAACCACAAGCCAGCAUGGGCAACGGCUUUACCUUCUGUAUAGCAUGAUUCAUUGCGGGGCACCAGACUGAGAAGCGGCGAGAAGUCCGUGGGGGUCGCUGGGGAGUCCAUGCCUCUAGUUAUAUUUAUAGAGGGGGUGAUUAUGAUCCAGGAAUGGUGCACUGUGGUGAGUUGUGUUGUGCAAAGGGUAUUGUCACAGCCUCUAUUCGGGUACUUUCCAGUAUCGCGACGCAUGGUAGACAUGAUGAGGAGGCUGUGUCUUGUGGGUACAGUGGUACACCUCUGGCUAGAGUAAAACUAUUCGAAUAGCCGUGCCCGCGGUUAUGGGCGGGUUGAGCAAUGUUUUUCGUGAUUAGUCUCACACCUCUCACAAUAAUUAUGGAUGUUAUAUCUGGUAAUAAUUUGCUUAGCUCCUGGUUUGGAGUUAGAUCUGUACAGCCGGGUAUGGUUGUUCAGGAUGGUUGGGCCUGUGCAGCAUGGGUGUGCUGUUCAGUGUUGAUUAAAAUUUCUGAUUAAUUACUCCACUGUUUUACUCCUCUUAAAUGUUUUGCUAAAUGCUGCUUUUGCAAAUGAGCCUAUAUUAUGCCAUCCUUUGGUAUCCUUGUGCACUUGCAUAUUUGCUGUGUGGCUUGUUGAGUAUGUCAUAUGCUCAUUCUUGCAAUAAUCAAUCAACCUCAGUUGAAGAAAAAGGAUCCAGAAGGAGAAGACGUUUGGCUUAUACCCCAGUUGAGCUGCCUGUGGGAGUGGAGCCGGAGCUUCGCUAGACCGUAAUUCCGUUGCAGUUUUCUUUUCUUUUGAAAUGGAGGAGGCUCUUCAAACCUAACGAUGAGAUCAAGCUAGAAGCUAUGACAGAAGAAAUAAAGGUGAUGACAGGCCUACGGCAUCCGAGAUUAGGUGUGGGUUAGUUGGUUAGCGUUAGCUGUUGGUGUGUUGGCUUUAGAGGUUGUUGUCAAGUGUUUGUUCAGCUUUUGGUCUGCUCCUAAGCUCCUUGCUGUGGUUAAGCUUACUAGUCUUGUUUUGCUCUUGUAUGGUUCGCUGGCAUCCCCAGCUGUUAAAAGACACCGCCGAUGUGGCUUUCAAGUAAAAGCCAGGUCUCUGACCUUUUCUCUAAAAAUUAGCGAGACGUAGAGCCGCCAUGCCGAAGAAGUUGCGCACGAUGGUUGUGCCGGUGUCGGAGCCGAUGGAAUCCGCGCUGAUGAGCUCCAACAUCAUGGAGCCGAAGCCGAUUUCCGUUGGGAGUUCGUCGUGACAGAGGCAAGCAUGGAUAACAGCAUGGAGCUGAAGCCCAUUCCCACUGCGUGCUAGCCGUUGGUGAAGAGAGAGGGGAGAGAAGGCAGAGGAAGGUGAUAUGGCACUUACAUGUGGGCCGGCCCCAUAUGUUCUUUUUAACUUUUUUUUCCGAUGACUAAGAUGCCACGUCAUCCAAAACAAAUAUCCAUACUGCCAAGGGACCUCACUUGAACGGUUUUGUAAAGUUUUAUUUUUUUUUUGGGGGGAGGUGAAGAUUUAUGGUAUUGCAGUUUUGGGAUGUUAAUUAAACUCGACAUAAAGAUGAGGGACGGCAAGUGGACUUAUUCAUUUUCAAAAAUAGACAAGCUUCUGGGCUUCGCCGCAAUAUAAAUUAUUUUCUGGGCUCUCAAGUUUGAACAUUGAGCGUCCGAUCCA